rnacentral:lncRNA from 1 species
CGGAAGUAAAAAAGUAAAAGUUGCUUAGCUUGUGCCCAGGAGAGGCACAAGCGAGCUGGUGCAGAGAGGAAAGGGGCAGGUGACCAGCUCCUUAUGGAGGGGGAUUGUGAGGCUUUUAUUAGGCAAAGGUUGGGGAGGAGGGCCUUGUCAUGACAUCGAGAGGUGGGGUUGUGCUUGCGCCUGCGCUGUCACGUAGCAUGCUACUACCUGUGACAAAUGUAUCAUUAGCAUGCUAGCUCUCCACCCCUAGGUGUGAUUUUUACUGUGCCAAUGGGGCUAGGGUGACCUUCAGUGGAUUCCUGGGUGCUAGGGCGCAUGCGUAUACCUGGGAAAGUCCCAAAGCUGCGGAAUGUGGAUCUUCGUGGUCUCUAUCUGAUUCUCCCAGCUUGUGGAUUGGCUAGGGGCCUUCCCUUGUUAGAUCAGGGGCCUUGCAGACGGCCCUGUCUUGUUAAGCUGGUUCCUGUCUUAAACCCAGACAUAAAAGAGUGCAUACUGUGUGAUUUUAUUUAUGUAAAACAGCCAAAAUCUAUGUACCUUAGAAGCUAGGAUGGUGAUUACCUCGGAGAGGCAGUGACUGGAACUCAGCCGGCCUGCUGGGGACCUGGACAGAUUCUGUUUCUUGAUCUGGUGCUGGUUACGUGGAUGUGUUCGGUUGUCCUGCUGUGACGUCAUGGUUCUCUAUUCGCUCGUGGCUCAUGAACCACUUCUCUCCUUAAGUUAAGUAGCCUUCAAGCAUCAACUAGUAAGAGCCUCAAGACCAGGCUGUGUAACAGGCCAUUUUUAAAUCAAGUAGCUGUCCUUCUUUGUGACUUAGCUAAAGCUGGCCUAUCUCCAGUCACCAUAGAAGACAAAGACCAAACACAGCAAUUAUUACUCUGUCAAAUGCAGUUAAGUCAAAUCCAAAGAGCUUAAACAUGCAGAUAACUGUGGAUCAUCGCUGGUGGUGCUGACAAGAGACUGUAGCAAAUAGAAAAGGAAUCCUAAAAAUUUCUACUAUAGGAAUUCGCAGCAAAAUCUCGAGAAGAACUUAGCAAGAAGAUUAGCCCUGAGCUAACAUCUGCUGCUGAUCCUCCUCUUUUUGCUGAGGAAGACUGGCCCUGAGCUAACAUCCAUGUGUCCAUCCUCC